rnacentral:rRNA from 1 species
UACGAAGGGGGCUAGCGUUGUUUCGGAAUUACUGGGCGUAAAGGGCGCGUAGGCGGCGUGUCAAGUCAGGCGUGAAAGCCCCGGGCUCAACCUGGGAACCGCGCUUGAGACUGGCAUGCUCGAGUUCGGGAGAGGAUGGUGGAAUUCCCAGUGUAGAGGUGAAAUUCGUAGAUAUUGGGAAGAAUACCGAUGGCGAAGGGCAGCCAUCUGGACCCGACACUGACGCUGAGGCG